AGUAUACAAGACUGAUGACAGUAGAGAGUACCAACAACAAUGUAAAAUAUAACCCCGAGCUUCCAAAUAGGGUUGUCGCUGAAGAUACUUUCUGUUUCUUUUGCAUAUAAGCAAGGGCACCACAGUACAGAGCAUUGUCAGGCUUUUGCAUUUCUGUUUUGUUGCUAUGAUCUUCAGGAUUGAUAAUUCUCAUAUACGUUUCCUGCCCUAAGUACCACCUGUCCAGGUUUUCUGCUCUGAGGUUCCACACCCCUACAUUGUCGAG
rnacentral:misc_RNA from 1 species